rnacentral:pre_miRNA from 1 species
UGAUGAUGAUGAUGAUGAUGAUGAUGAUGAUGAUGAUAGCGGUGAUGACGAUGAUGAUCUUUAUAUCCUUAGCUUUAUCACCAGUCCUCCGCAGUCCAACUGGCAUCCUUCUCUUUCUCGUCAUCGCCAUCAUCAUCAUCAUCAUCAUCAUCAUCGUCA